CUAGAACCCAGCAUGGAGGCACGUGAUGUGGAAAUCAGUUCCCCUUCAACCAAGCCGGGCUCUCUAGGACUCUUUACUUGACCCAGUUCAGACCUCACCUCUUCAAAGAAGUCUUUCCUGACACCAUAGAAAUAUUCAUUAAGCAUCUUCUUCAUGUCAAG